CACCAAAGAUAGUUUGGCGACACUCCCAUAGACUUCCAUAGGAAACAAUGGCGGCGCUUUUUCCAGGCUACUUCGGCGUUAUGCAGAGCUCAAAAGUU